GAUGAACGCUGGCGGCGUGCCUAAUACAUGCAAGUCGAGCGAACAGACGAGGAGCUUGCUCCUCUGACGUUAGCGGCGGACGGGUGAGUAACACGUGGAUAACCUACCUAUAAGACUGGGAUAACUUCGGGAAACCGGAGCUAAUACCGGAUAAUAUAUUGAACCGCAUGGUUCAAUAGUGAAAGACGGUUUUGCUGUCACUUAUAGAUGGAUCCGCGCCGCAUUAGCUAGUUGGUAAGGUAACGGCUUACCAAGGCGACGAUGCGUAGCCGACCUGAGAGGGUGAUAGGCCACACUGGAACUGAGACAGGGUCCAGACUCCUACGGGAGGCAGCAGUAGGGAAUCUUCCGCAAUGGGCGAAAGCCUGACGGAGCAACGCCGCGUGAGUGAUGAAGGUCUUCGGAUCGUAAAACUCUGUUAUUAGGGAAGAACAAAUGUGUAAGUAACUAUGCACGUCUUGACGGUACCUAAUCAGAAAGCCACGGCUAACUACGUG
rnacentral:rRNA from 1 species